UACAGUUUCCUAAUUUCUUUAACAUCAGCGUGGAUAAAAAGGUUAGACCGAGUGUUCUGAUGUAUUGAUCCUGCAGAGCUCCAUGAGUUAGCUUAAAGCCCACUCCUCCAACUCUUCCAACAAUUUUAGGUGGAAUGCAGACUGAAAGUUCCCGGAAGAGGGACCAGGCAACAGCCUACAUAGAAGUUGCGAGAAUAUAUGAUGAAGGGCAUGGCCAGAACCUUCACCUGCGGUCAAAGAUUCCUGGAUCCCGACAAGUGUGGUACUGGUUGCCCUGAAGGACUCAAGGCGCAGUGAUCCCUGAUGUGCCACACAGGAUCAGCAGAGGGACCGGAAGGUAGAAGAGGAGAAACUGGUAUGAUGGGAACAGCGCCACGCAGAGGUGAGGGCUUCCUGUCUGUGCCGUGCCAUCCCGAGGUCCUGGUUCCAGCCCUCACGCACCAGGCAGGUGAGCGUCCAGCAGAGGAGCGCGGCCUCCUGGCUCUCCUCACGCCCCAGGGGAGCAGGUGUGAGGUAAGUGAGGAGGCUCGUGGCAGUGCCUUGUGAGACAGAGCAGGUCACGCCAUGUAAAGGCUGGCUGUGUGCUGUCCCUGCCUCCGCCUCCCCCCAUCACCACCUGUGCUCUGUCCCAGGAGGCUGGGGUGCAGCUCUGAGUCCAGCAAGGCAUGAACCCUGGCCGGCAUCAGCAACAGCCGCUUCUCUCUUUGGUUUCUGAAUUAUUUAUCCCUCCCUUCCCCAUCCCACCCCAGACCUUUUACAACAUUAAGCCUUUAAAUAGGCCUAGGCCUUGGCUUGGCAGUCAGUAUUUCCUCGUCAUCCCUGUCAAGAUGUCUUGGAGAAGGCACACGUCCCUGCAGACUGAUUUUCCCCUUGGCUGUGCCCUGUGGCCAUUGGCUCUGCCUGGGUCCUAAUUGGAGAACAGAACAGCCCUGGCCAGAGUGAGGCAGAGGCCCAGGUCUCAGCUAUGGCUUCUUCCCUCCAGGCCUGUGGAGCACUUGCUGAAUAUUUACUGUCCUUUAUUCAGCUCACUCAUGGCAGUCCUGGGGCUGGAAGGCUCCCCAGGAGGUCAUUUUGUUCCUUUCCAGGCUAGGGCACAGGUCAUCCAGUGUGGUCAGAUGGCAGCCCCUUAACUGUCGCUCUUCCUGCCCACUCCCUUUCUGCCCAGGGAAUUAAGUCCUAGAGGAUAAUACUUGGAUUGUCUUCAGCAGCAGUCUCGUGGACUUCUAAAAGCUGCUGGCAACAACCCCAGGACAAUGGGGGACCCACCAGGGGGUAGGGGUAGGAACCUGGCAAGAAACAGUGGUGCUACCAGAUGUGUUUCUCAGACAAGGCCAAGUUCUGAAAGUAGCAGGGACUCAGCAACAUUUCCACCCUGUUCAAUUUUAAUCUGCCUCCCAAGCUGAGAUCUUCAAGAAGCAAACUCUGAGGUGGAGAUAAGGCUGCAGGACAUUUGUUAGUGACAAUCACUGGACAUCAGUUGGUCACAAGUGGGUAGAGGGAGAAGCUGAGCUGCACUGCAGUCUACGUCACAACCCCAGCUGACCUCAGAGAGCUUGGGAGAUGAAAUGAUCUUCAGUUGUCCCCAGUCAGGGGUGAAUCUUUAUACUCUGUUGAUCUGUCAGUGGGUGCAGGCUGGCCUAGGAAGGAGGUGUGACCCAGCACAGUCCCGGAAGGGCUGCUGGACUCCCCCAAACUGGAGACUGUUCUGCAUUCCUGGAGAGGGUCUAGGCUGGGGUACAUCGAAGCUUUAACCACUCCCAGUGGUGACAUUUUAGAUGGCAGGGAACAAAGUAAGGAAGAUCUUCUUUGGGCAGGGGAUGCUGUCCUGGGUUUCUGAAUCCCUACACUUAGCAGCUCCCUAAGGCUGAGGGCCAGAGUCCCGGAGGGGUAGUCUGCUCCCUCCACCUUCCUCCUCUCCUCCCAGUGAGAUCCAGGCUGAAGGUCUGGAGAGACAGUGGGAGCUGGAGACUCCCCAGGCACCAGGAACCCUCACCUUAACCACCAACAAUUACAUCUGAAAAAACCCAGCUCAUUCCUAUUCCCACUGUGCAGGGCCCCUAAUUAAAAUUCAAACUCAUGUUUUUCUUUUUCUUUUCAAAAUUUUCAAGGUAAUUAAUUUUCCUUUCUGUGGGUAAGCAAUUAAUUAAUGCUCUGUUAAUGAUCAGGAGAUCAGAGCAGUGCAAUUUGCUUGGAAGUUUGUUUCUUUCAUUUCCUUCCAUUUUCCAAAAGUUCUGGCCUCAGUGGAGGAGGAAAUGGAGAAAGAAAGACAUCACAGUGAGGGUCUGCUGUGUGUGACAGGCUGCUGUGUUGGGUCCACACUGAAGCCCUGAAGUUCUUACCACAGGGAGGGUGUAAGCAGUCUUCCCUGGACCACAGAAACAUCCAGGUACAGAGGGUACCUAAGAGAACCUUCCUCAGGAGGGGCCAGCCAGGUACUUCCCAGACCCCAAACGUGAGCUGAGCUGAGAUCCUGGGGUGGGGGCCACUGUACCCCUCUCCCAGGCCCCUGGGUCCACUUCCUCCUCCCCACAACCACCACCACCACAUGCCUCAGACAGGGGAUGUGGAUCAACAGGAUUUUGUAUGAGUUGCAUGUGAGAGUGUAAAUCAGUACCACCACUCUAAAAGACUGGAACAAUUUGCCAUUAUCUCAGAAAAUGGCUGUUUACAUACUCUGCGAUCCAGCAUCCUUUGUGUCUUAGUCACUUUCUCAGCACAGAAACAAAAUACCCGACACCUACAACUUAAAGCAGGAGAAGUUUGUUUUGGUUCACAUUUUAGAAGUUUCAGUCCUUGCACAGUCGGCAGCAUGGCUGAAGGGCUGGGCAUGGAGGAAAUCUGCUCAUGCCAUGGCAGCCAGAAAGCAGACAGUGCAAGGAACAAGCCAGGGAGGGAGACACACCCUACCAGGUCACACCCCAGUGACCCCCUCGUCCCAUCAGACCUAUCUCCUAACAUCACAGUUAGCUAUAGCGCCCCCAUGAUUCACCCACCUUUUAAAAGCUCUACCUAUGAGCACAUGAUGCUGCGAGGGGAGGGAGAUG